rnacentral:sRNA from 1 species
GGAUGUGAGGGCGAUCUGGCUGCAACAUCUGUCACCUCAUUGAUCACCAGGGUUUAUUUGGCUGAUCUGGCUGGCUAAGUGGGUGUCCCCUUCCACUCUUAUCACUCCUUGUGUUUCCCUCCUGAAGCUGAGUGCUCAAACAGGGUGAACUUCCUCAAAUAGAGGAGACAUGGUAUUCAGUCAAGGGUAUAUGAGUAGCUGCACUCCCCUGCUUCUAGAACCUCCAGACAAGAAUUGGUUUUAGUUCUUUUUAU